rnacentral:rRNA from 1 species
UACGAAGGGGGCUAGCGUUGCUCGGAAUCACUGGGCGUUAAGGGUGCGUAGGCGGGUCUUUAAGUCAGGGGUGAAAUCCUGGAGCUCAACUCCAGAACUGCCUUUGAUACUGAAGAUCUUGAGUCCGGGAGAGGUGAGUGGAACUGCGAGUGUAGAGGUGAAAUUCGUAGAUAUUCGCAAGAACACCAGUGGCGAAGGCGGCUCACUGGCCCGGUACUGACGCUGAGGCACGAAAGCGUGGGGAGCAAACAGG